rnacentral:rRNA from 1 species
GCACCGUCGCUCGGACCGCGACCCCAGGUCAGUCGGGACUACCCGCUGAGUUUAAGCAUAUAAAUAAGCGGAGGAGAAGAAAC